CUCCGCCGCUAAUACAAAAUUUAGAGCUCUCAAAAGUGUAGAAAAGUUAGAAUCUGAGUUUCAACGCCGCUCAUCAUCUUUUGAAAACCCUUUGAACGCAUGUGGAUUAAUAUAGGAUAUUUGUGAUUGGGCGAGCCUGCUUUUUUCACUCCGUAAAUAAGAGAAAAAACAUGUUCUCUUUUUGGUGAGGUGUCCAUUAUGCAAAUCACUGGAUAAGAGUUUGACGGAAGGCCCAAUAAUGAUGUUAAGAGUUAAACCGAAGGCCCAAAACGAAAUCCAACAUAUACCUUCUUUAUAAACGGGUUGAAGCCUAACGCGCAUAACCCCGACCAGGCCAACGGAUAAACACGCAAACCGGGCUGGAUCAAACGUCUUCACUUUGUGAAAGCCAUCCUUCUUAGACCUCGUUCGACCACAUGAAUUUUGGUACAUGUUCGGGUGACGGUAUGGAAAGUAUUGAUGCGAAGGUGGCUGCGAAGGCACAUAAAUUGGCGGAGUAAUUGCUACAACACAAAUGUAACAAAUAAGAAUCAAUCUAUUUGCACUACAAACAAACAAAUAGUCUAAAAGUCGCCAAUUCGAGUAGUACUUGGGACGAGAUUAUAUAACAUGUCCUGGUCUUGUGCUUGAGGGAUGUAUCAGUUUCGACACAGAACCUCUUAGUUAUUCAAAAAAAAAAACAAAUAGUAUAGUGGAUUAGUGGAUAUGUGUUACCUUGUUUUAUUGGAAUUGGUAUAAUUGGUUCUUGAAUGCCAUCAACGUUAUCUGA